rnacentral:lncRNA from 1 species
CAAGCCCCUGCAUCGGGCUUGGGCGGAGCUUUUGGGGUGCCCCGGCAGCAGCACUGCGGGGGGACCCCCAGACCCUCUGCAAUACUGUGAAAGCUAGCCCCACUUGGCCAUGCUUCUGCAGCCCCUUCCUUUUAGAGCUUGGGGUCCCUUCUCCCCUCCUCCCCUAAGGUACCCUCCCCCCCUUUAUUGGGCAGAAUUUGC